UGAGCUGUGUCUUGCCUAACAGAUAGUAGAAUAAAGAUAACUUAAUUAAGAGCUGAUUAUAAGUACUGUGAACUGAAAUCUUUGUUCUCAAGAGCAAGCCACUGGAGCAUGUUAGCAGCACAUUUUCCAGAUGAACUCCUUUCCUGUCUUAUUUCAUGACUAGAAUGAAGAAACAGGAAUGGAGAUCAAAAGCUUUAUUUUUGCCAGGGUUGUCAGUGCUGACCCUUUUCAGACCGGACCUGCCCUGAGCUGCUGCCAGCCAGGCUCUUACAGGGGAUUAAUGCAAGGACCUGCAGGGCCAUGGGGACCAACUGGGCCAUCUACACCCUACGAAAGGAAACAAGGAUGGUAAAAGAGAGGUCUUGUUCUGACAAGUCUGUCUUCUAGCUGAGAACUAACAUGGAAUCAGUCUUCAGCAAUUGAAAAUGCUGACGUAAUUGUGAUGGGAUCUGGACAAACAAAUCUAUUUGGCUUUCGAAACUCCACUUUCAAAACUCCAUCUACAAGCUGUCAAGUUUUGAGAUUCAGAUCUUCUUCUAUGGCGAAUUCCAUUCUCCUUCCCCCACACAUCACCCUAAGAGUCUGCUCACAGCCUCAUCUCAUACAACAUGGAAAGUGCCUGCGGCGUUUGCCUUCUUUCCUCCGUGCCCUGUGUGAAUGUGACUGGCGGAGCCACUGGAGUGGACAUGGAUUCGGUAACGAGAGCGACACAGAAAGAUGAGGGACUCACCCGGGCUCCUGGCUUUCCGUCUAAGCCAGAUGCUCCCUGUGUGAUUAGGUGAAAGCAUGGAUGAUGGGGACAACACGGAUGACAAGAACGUGACAUUAGUAAGCGGUGCUGAUGAAUAAACACAAUUCAAAUGUACAGUGCAAGUUGUGACAGGGUUCUGGGAUGGGUAUCACAUUACUACAGCAUGUUAGUUAAAAAUGCACAUAAAACAUAAAGAGCCUGAUUCUGUUCUCACAUUAGUGUAACAUCACUGGCCCACCCCUGCCUUCGUGUCAAACUAUAUUAGACCAGAAAAAUGUCAAACUAUAGGAGUGCUAUAAACACCAGAUGUUAGGGUGUUUUUGAGCCUUAACAUGCAAAUAUUUGCUUUGCAAUUUACUUGCAUGCUUUCCAAUUUGUAAAUAACGACAAUACUGAAUACUAUACUACACAAAGGAAUUAAAAAUGUAUGCUAGCCAUAAUAGGAAGUAUUUAAGUGCAAGAAUACUGCAUUAUGCAGCCAACAAAAUCUGGAUCCUGACUACAAUGGCCUCAUUCAUUUCCAAGAGCCCGGGAGACAAUCACAGUUCCUGUUUUCCCAACACAGUCCCAGUUCGGAGCGCAGUGAAGGGCUGGAAACGGGUAGAACCGGGCACAAUAAAGCUUCGGGCUAUUUGCUUCAGCAUCCUUGGGGACGGGCUGACCUCUGCUGGAGUUUAUAUGAAUAACAGAGCAGCAGAGAAAGGUCCGCCCGACUAUCACAGCACUGCUGGCAAUAAUGCUGGAGCUAGGGGGAGCAACACUAAUUGGGACAAGGGAGAAAACAAAUAAAUCAGAACAACAACAACAAAAAUAAAGGAGGAAAAAAGCCUUAUUAGCUGUGAAAACGAGCCAUUUUUAGGAAGUCAAACACUUGGGCUUUGCUCCUUAAAAUUACACUUAGAAAAAGUAGUAAGCAGGAGUAAGACAAGACCUAUAUACAUCUGAAAAACUAAUGGCAUAUUUUGCUCCAGGUUAGAGCAAAUAUUUCUAAUGGGACCAAGAAUUUCUUCUUUCUUUUAGUCAUUUUCAGGGAGUUGGCUCCGACCUCAAAAGCUCCCUCUCUACAUAGCUGUAAAUGUCAGGUUGAAAAUAGUCUUUUUUUUUUUGAAAAUAACUCAAAAAUGUGAGCGAAGCUGACCUUGUCCAGAGGCCCUGCACAGAAUCCUUGAAAAUAUUAAUCAGAGGGUUUGGGUCAGCUAAGUCUUUUUCCUCCAAUUUACAGUUAACAAUGUAAUCACGUGGAGCAAUCCUUGCAUUAAAAAGAAACAACAACCAAAAUAACCCCACAAACAACAAAAGCCCACUAAAAAUAAUAGUAAAAAAACAGACCAAAAAAGCACCAAACAAAACCCAACUAACUCUUUUUGUGAGAAAAAAUAAAACUAACUUCCCAGAGUGCUUUCAAACACACAAGGUAAGCACACAAAAUAUUUUCUCCUUUUGUCAGCACAAAUUUUAAGUACCCUAGUGUUUCCAAAAGAAACAUGUAUUUCUAAGGUACCUCAUUUAUUUCUAGGACAAAAUUUAUGACAAACCGACUGGAAAUUUUCUGAAGAACAAAGCAAAAGUAACAAUGCACCAUCCCUAAUGAAGGAGAAAAAAGAAAAUCCCUAAACCAAUUUUUAACUUUCCUCAGUUAGACCUCUCCAAUUGUAACUGCAGAAGUGCAAACAGAGGAAGAAUAACUGAAGAGACGGGGGAAAAAGGGAAGAACUCCUUUUAUUACACAAACACCAUAUAACAUUUAAAUAACAAUAUGACUAAUGUAAUGGGAGUGAUGGCAUCCUUGUGACAUUGAACACUUUGAACCAACAUAAAACAAAAAAACCUGACAAAAAAGCCUGAGUGUUACAGGAAAUUAGAUGAUAACACAGAUCUGGGGUAAAACAUAACAAGACUGAUGCUCUGCUCCAGCAUGGUAUGUUCUAUGAGUUGUUCAUCAGCAGUAGGAAGAGAAGUUUGGGAUUUGCACUGAGAUUGAACAGUUGGGUUUUUUACUUACUGGAAGACCAAGGGGCCCUCUGUCACCCUUUUGACCUGGUUCACCCUUCAAUCCUUUAAGACCAUUUAACCCUGGUUCACCCUAAACGUAAAAGUAUAAAUGCCAAUUUUUUCAUGCCAUAACAAGUGUUCAAGCUGGGACAGAAGAAGUCAGACUCAAAAAUGGUUGCAAAUUCCAGUUUGAAACAAAGACACAAAUUCAGCUUUGUCAGCUUACUGGCAAUUUACAUACUGAAAUUGUAAUGAGUAAAAGCACUUGGGAGGUAUCUGCUGGAGAUUUAAAAUCUGUGUGAGAAAACUGUAGGAAUCUUAUAACUAAGAGAUUCUUUUGAAUCUUUUCCUAAUAAUUAUCACUAUAGUUAGUUUGAAUUAAGCAUGAGUUUCGGGGGGUUUUAGAAUUUCCUCAAAUCCCACAGCCACCCGAUGGAAACGAUUCAAACUGAAAGAGAACUUUUGGAAAAAUAAGCCUCAAAACUGGAGGUUUCUACAGCGGGAUCUCCUGGAAAAUACAUUUUUCUUAAGGAAGCAAUAUUUUUUCUUACUGUGAACUGGAAUUUGCAGCGCAACAUUACAUAAAGAUAUUUUAAACCUUUAAGCAUACGUAAUUAAACAGUAACAAAUUUAAAGAAGCAGAAUAGGUUAUAUGAUGCCAAGCUAUUUGGGAGAUCCAUAGCUCCUGUGUUCAUACAGAGAAGUUUAAAACAGCGUAAGAAAUGGCACUUGUCUUGUUGUGAUUGUUAAAUUAUACAUAGGCUAUUACAUUAAACAUCACUAAGGGGAUAAUGGGCUUGGAGUUGCCAAUAAAUCAUUCUUGCAUCAUGAAAAACUACCCCAGCAUGAGUCAAAAAGAGUCCUGACCACACCUGCCUCUUUUGGGAAACAGAAAUAUGUGGGUAUUUCAUCCAGGCUGCUCCCCAUGGCCUUGUUCCUAGGUUUUCCUUUGAUGUAUUAUGUUACCUUAUAUCAUAUUAAUAUUAAAUAUAUAUAUAUCUGAAUGGAAUCUAGUCUGCUGCUUUAAGUAACUCCAGACACCAUUUGCCUGCUUUGCACCCUUCCCUAUGUAGCCAUUUCUUCAUUCUGUUUCUAUUUGACUCAAUGUGAAUUUCAGAACAGUAGCACUGAAAAUACUGAGAAUUUGGAAACAGACCUGAGAAGUCUCACAAAAGCCAGACCCCCAGGCCAAAAGCCUGAAGUAAGGCAGGGCUGGUGCUAACAUGGAACCCUCUUGACUUCAAAAAAUGAUUUAUGACUCAGGCUUCUUGCGCCAAGGUAACACGAACAGUCUCAUAAUGAGUCAAACCGGUGAUUUUCUGUCUCAUACCUUAAAAAACCAAAACUAAACAAAAAAACCCCUCUACUGCUCUUAUUUUUUUAAAAAG